GAUGAACGCUGGCGGCGUGCCUAAUACAUGCAAGUCGAGCGAACAGACGAGGAGCUUGCUCCUCUGACGUUAGCGGCGGACGGGUGAGUAACACGUGGAUAACCUACCUAUAAGACUGGGAUAACUUUGGGAAACCGGAGCUAAUACCGGAUAAUAUAUUGAACCGCAUGGUUCAAUAGUGAAAGACGGUUUUGCUGUCACUUAUAGAUGGAUCCGCGCCGCAUUAGCUAGUUGGUAAGGUAACGGCUUACCAAGGCGACGAUGCGUAGCCGACCUGAGAGGGUGAUCGGCCACACUGGAACUGAGACACGGUCCAGACUCCUACGGGAGGCAGCAGUAGGGAAUCUUCCGCAAUGGGCGAAAGCCUGACGGAGCAACGCCGCGUGAGUGAUGAAGGUCUUCGGAUCGUAAAACUCUGUUAUUAGGGAAGAACAAAUGUGUAAGUAACUAUGCACGCCUUGACGGUACCUAAUCAGAAAGCCACGGCUAACUACGUG
rnacentral:rRNA from 1 species